GACGAACGCUGGCGGCGUGCUUAACACAUGCAAGUCGAACGGAAAGGCCCUGCUUUUGUGGGGUGCUCGAGUGGCGAACGGGUGAGUAACACGUGAGUAACCUGCCCUUGACUUUGGGAUAACUUCAGGAAACUGGGGCUAAUACCGGAUAGGAGCUCCUGCUGCAUGGUGGGGGUUGGAAAGUUUCGGCGGUUGGGGAUGGACUCGCGGCUUAUCAGCUUGUUGGUGGGGUAGUGGCUUACCAAGGCUUUGACGGGUAGCCGGCCUGAGAGGGUGACCGGCCACAUUGGGACUGAGAUACGGCCCAGACUCCUACGGGAGGCAGCAGUGGGGAAUAUUGCACAAUGGGCGGAAGCCUGAUGCAGCAACGCCGCGUGCGGGAUGACGGCCUUCGGGUCGUAAACCGCUUUCGCCUGUGACGAAGCGUGAGUGACGGUAAUGGGUAAAGAAGCACCGGCUAACUACG
rnacentral:rRNA from 1 species